UUACUGGACAUCACCUGCUCGGACCCUCUGUUCUCACACAUUCUAGUACCCGACUAUCCAAGGCUGAUCUGGAACCGUUCCAAGCGAUCCUCAUUGGUCUAGAAUUGCUUGACAAAGCUGGAACUCUGCCCUCUUCCAGCAUUCCCGUUCUUAAUCUCUCUCCAGAUGGCUCUCAUCAAAAAAUGUGGCCAACUGAUUUCUACAAUUAUCUGGGUCCUGAUACAGUUCAAGGACAAAUUACUCUAGACAAUAAACCCAUCCAACACCUUCCAUCUGAUGAAAACUAUCUUGAACAUGUCCAGCAUGUUCUUCACAUCACUCCACUUCAUACUCCGAUAAUAGUAGAGUUGAACCUUCUACCUUUUCUCCGACAUCAUUCUCCAGAAACCUGGAAAUCUAUCCUGGAUACCAACCUUAAAUCUAUCCUCCUUGGUUUUUUUUGUGGAAUCUCAAAAAUAUCUCAAGUCUUUAAGUCUCAAAAAGGUGAGCUCCCUGAAAUAGUUGUCCUUGGACAACCCCCGUUUGCAUCUGAUUAUCAACUCAGUGCACAAAUCUUGCUCCAAAUGUGGGAUGACAUAAAUCUUGGAGCCCUCCUUAUUAGUAGAUAUACUAAAACCGUCUUUCUUCCAUGUACAGGUCUGAUUGGUUUCGGCAAACAUUUUUACUCCAACAUUUUGGAUCAACAAUUUCCUACUUUCAACUCUGAUCACUCGCUUUCACAGUAUUCAAGAAAUCAAGCUCUCAGCCUAAUCCAACUCUACUGUUCUGUUAGGGAACAAACUCUAGCUGUGCUGGACUCCUAAUAUGCUCAGAUUCGCUUCCGCAUCAUGCAUCACAAACUCCCUAUUCUUCUCAUCCUUCAUACCUUCCUAUUGAUAAAAGCUCAAUUUCUUGAUCUCCUGAUGCCUGUUUUUGAACAAGAUCUUGCUAACAAAAGAACUGUAACCAGGAUUUUCCUAGACUUUGAAAUUUUCAUUUUAACUGAUGAACAAUCAUGCAAAUAAAAUUUUUGAUAUUUUUAAAUCUUUUAGAACAGCUAUACAUAAACCUUCACAGCCGAUAUCUCCAACUUUAAAAAAUGUCCUUGAAGAUUUAGCUAAACUAAAAUCUUCCCUUAAACAUAUUACAUCGGCAACUUCCAGUCUUUUAGAUAAAAAUACUCCUAAACCUGAUCACUCUCCAUGUACUUAUGUUAAACUUAUUGUCAAUUCAUACUCUUUUCAAAACUUUUUAGAAAGUCUAAUUUUAAUUUCAGCAAAAAUUCCUCCCGAAUUUGAUUUCUCUGAUGAUAUAACAUCUGACGGAUACAAUGAAAAAUUUCAGUUAGUAAUUGACACACUUUUACAUCUAAAAGGGACUGUUCACAAAUUUUUCGCUUCCCUCGAAAAACAAUAUUCGUUACUUUUAGAUUUAGAAAAUUUUAUACUCCCAACUUUUGUAGCUCACGACCUAGAUCUAGGAAAAUGCAUCAGACAUUCUGGGCAAGAAAAGUUUAAAAUGGAACACAUUAAAUAUUAUUCAUCUGGCGUUUAUAUUACGGUAAAAUUGACUCAAAUUCAUGAUUUUCAAUCUUAUAACUCGUUACAUCCUAUUCCUAUAGCUGGAAUAAGCUUGGAUUUAAAUGAUUUAUACGCUCCUAUUAACAAUAAUGCUACUUAUGUUCAGCAAAUUUGCACCACUGUAAACAACAUAAAAAAUUGUCAUUUGAAACCUUAUAAUACUCCUUGUACUGUUGCGAUCAUCGCAAAACAUGU